ensembl:lncRNA
CCCACCUCCAGUUACUGCUCUGAGAGCUGUACAGGUUUAGUCUGUCUCCAAUCAGAUCGCCUAGUGUCGGCAUGUCUGUCUGCAGGAAGCUGCAGACCCAUCCUUGAUCCAGGUCAGUUCCUGCGCCCCACGUCAUUAGGAGCUAUCUGAUCCUUCCCGGUGACCAAGAGCAAAGCGUCCGUUCCUGUCCUGUGGCCUCUGGUUCAUGUAGGGGCUUCCUAUGUCACCCGGUCACCAGCACGGAGGGCAAUUUCUGGGCUGCCCCUCAGCCCUACAGCGUGUUCUGCCAGAUGCUGAAACUAGAACGAAAGUCACAGGACCCACAGAUAAAAGGGAUUGUGCCGAUAACAAAUGAUAACACUCCAGUGUGUGUUACUGCUCCAGCAGCUUCAAGAAUGGUGAAUGAAGUGAUUCUCCAAGAAAGCACAAGGUCUCAUGAAGAAAAGUGUUCUCAAGGCCAAUCAGCUUAGACGGAGUAAGAUUUUUCCUAGGACGCCGAUUCUGUCCCCACCUUCGAAUCACCCUGGAUCCACCGGGGUUGGACCCCGGCAAGUGGCGCCCUCACAACCAGAGAAAAGCCCACACGGCAACGAAGACCCAGCACAGCCAAAACUAAAACUAAGAAUACUUGGGUGAAAAUAGGCAUAGACUCUAUUUAACAAGUUGCUGACCCAGCAGAUUUAUGUUCUGAGUCAAGCAGGAAGGACUCCCACAAUUCUUAGAGGAAGUGAGACGUUUGUGAUGGAGCAUCCAAGCAGCUUCUUUGGGGCUGUUUCAGAUCCAGUUCAUGUUGUUGCUGUUCCACCUUCUUGCAAAACUGAUCUUUGAAUGACCAUGCCUCUCAUUUUAAUCGGCUUUGCAAUGAGUUUUUUGGGGUUUUGGGAGUUUGUUUGUUUGUUUGUUUGUUUUUUGAGUGUUCACAUUUAUUGUCUUAUCAUUCGUUUAUGCUCCUUUUCUUUUUUUUUUUGCUAGCACAAAGUCUUUUUUGAGAUUGACACGUCUAAAAUGGCUUAGAUUUUUUAAAAUUAAUUUUUACUGGAGUGUAAUUUUUUUCAUAAUAUUGUGUUAGUCUCCAAGAAAGUGAAUCAACAACAGGAGGAGGAAACGGCAACCCAUCCCAGUCUUCUUGCUGGGAUAAUCCUAUGAACAGAGGAGCCUGGUGGGCUAAGUCCAUGGGGUCACUAAGAACUGAACAUGACUAAGUGACUUGACCAUCACCACAUAAUUGUUUCAUAACACUGUGUUAGUCUCCACUAUACAGUAAAAUGAAUCAGCUAUACAUGUACAUAUAUCCCCUCUUUUUUGGGUUCUCCUUCCCAUUUAGAGCACUGAGUAGAGUUCUCCGAGCUAUCCAGUAGGUUCCCGUUGGUUAUAUGUCAAUUCCAAUCUCCUAAUUAUCCACCCUAUGCCUCCGUAAUGAGGCGUGUUUGGAGAGAAAUCAUCUCACCAGUUCCAUGUAAGCCCUGGCUGUUUCAUUCAAAUUCUAUUGUGAAUUAAAGAUUUCUUGCAUCUCAUGUAUUAUUACAUUGCUGUAUGACUUGCCAUGAGCUAGAGAGGUUUUCAAACCUCAGAGCACUCUAAUACUAACUCCAGUUCUCAAACAUACUUCUUUCAUGUAGGAGGCCGUUUUCUCUGUGACCCACGAGGAUCUCCACGUAUAAACAGAGCUGUCCUGGUGACCUCAGCCUGACUCAGGCCCUCAGUCUCGGGCCUGUGCGUGUGCUUAGUCGCUCAGUCGUGUCCAACUCUCUGUGACCUCAUGGACGGUAGCCCACCAGGCUCCUGUGCCCAUGGGGUUCUCCAGGCAAAAAUACUGGAGUGGGCUGCCAUUCCCUCCUCCAGGGGAUCUUCCCAAACCAGGGAUAGAACCCAAGUCUGGCAUUGUGGGAGUAUUCUUUAGCAUCUGAGCCACCAGGGAAGCCCAAGAAUACUGGAGUGGGUAGCCUGUCCCUUCUCUAGGGGAACUUCCCAACCCAGGAAUCCAACCAGGGUCUCCUGCAUUGCAGGCAGAUUCUCUACCAGCUGAGCCAUCGGGAAGCCCAAUUUCAGGCCUUCACAGUCUCAUUCUCAUUUGUCCAAUGGGGUGGCUCCUGACUGCUAUUACCUUGAACUGCCCACUGAGUUUAUGCAAAGUAAUUUUAACAGAUACCUGCCAGUUCCCUGAAGUGGAGACUCAACUGAAGGCUUUAAUAAUCCUGCUUAAGCAGAUACCCACAUAUCUUCAUGGACAGAUGGUGUGCAACUCUGCAUCAUUUAAAAAUGCCACCCAGCCUAUCAACUGAUGCCUAGAGAAUGUGAGCCUGAACGAUAACAAUGUGUGGGCUGAGGCCACAGAUGUCGCAUCAGUCAUCCUUGGGGGUCUUCUUGCACUGACCUUGGGAAGCCCAGCUUAUGAUCUCAGGAUGGACCGAAAAAUGAUCUUUGUAUUACUGUUGUCAGGUCAUUUUUCCAGAGCACCUGUUGCAACACGGCCUACAGAGACCCCUGUCACUUGGGAUUCAAGUAAGUUACCAACCAAAGGAGAUGGGUAAUAGAUUUCCAGCCAUUAGUAUCAUAUCUGCGUAUUUAAUAAGGACCUAUCUGUGUGGUUUUCUAUGAUACAUGAGUCCAAUUAAAGCAACAACACUGAAAAGAAACAUUUCAGGGUUAACUCUGGCUAUUGUAAUUGGGGUAAUUUUUUCCUGCUUUUUCAGUUCAGUUCAGUCAGUCAGUUGUGUCCGACUCUUUGUGACCCCAUGAAUCGCAGCAUGCCAGGCCUCCCUGUCCAUCACCAACUCCCGGAGCCUACCCAAACUCAUGUCCAUCGAGUCGGUGAUGCCACCUAGCCAUCUCAUCCCCUGUCGUCCCCUUCUCCUCCUGCCCUCAAUCCUUCCCAGCAUCAGAGUCUUUUCAGGUGAGUCAAUCUUUGCAUAAGGUGGCCAAAGUAUUGGAGUUUGAGCUUCAGCAUCAGUGAUUCCAAUGAACACCCAGGACUGAACUCCUUUAGGAUGGACUGCUUGGUUCUCCUUGCAGUCCAAGGGACUCUCAAGAGUCUUCUCCAACACCACAGUUCAAAAGCAUUCAUUCUUUGGUGCUCAGCUGUCUUCACAGUCCAACUGUCACAUCCAGUA